GAUAUUGUCUGUUUUUCAUGUAAAAUUUGUCUUGAGCUGAGAAGGUAGUUAAGGUUGAUAUUUUAGAAGAGGAAUUUCAAAGAGAUCAUUUCAAAUUUUGUGACUUGUGUAGUGACAGUUGCUCACCAUCCUAUUUACCUGGACAUCCUCUUUCCUUGGUCUCUGUUGUCUCUGUCAUGUGAAAUUUUUCUUUCACUCCCAGCAGUUUCUCCACCUGAUGAAUGGAAUACUGGAUGAUCAGUUUUGAGGAUUCAUAAGACCUUCACUACUCCAAUUCCUUUACAGGAAAUGCAAGUUCCUUGCUGCACCUAAUAUCAGAGAGGACAGAAGUCUUUGGGUUUCAACUGCUGUUUUCACGUUGGCGUGGUAUGCUUUUCAGCGCAGGGAGAAAUCUUCUAAAUGCUACACACUACCACUCACCUGAAGCAACGGUGAAGCAAUCAUAUACCUGUAGUCCCAGCCAUGUGAUCACUUCACUUAGGUAAGUGGUGUA
rnacentral:lncRNA from 12 species